UACGUAGGGGGCAAGCGUUAUCCGGAUUUACUGGGUGUAAAGGGAGCGUAGACGGCAGAGCAAGUCCGGAGUGAAAGCCCGGGGCCCAACCCCGGGACUGCUCUUGGAACUGCGUGGCUGGAGUGCAGGAGGGGCAGGCGGAAUUCCUGGUGUAGCGGUGAAAUGCGUAGAUAUAUGGAAGAACACCAGUGGCGAAAGCGGCUCUCUGGUCUGUAACUGACGCUGAGGUUCGAAAGCGUGGGUAGCAAACAGG
rnacentral:rRNA from 1 species